GGAGAAGCAUAAGAUUUUGCAGGGGGGAUAUUUUAUAGUCUAGUAUUCUUACAGAAAGAGCAGUUGGACAUGCUGGAAUAAUGGGGAACAUAACGAAAACAGGAAUUCAAAUGAAUAUUUUUUUUCUUUAAGUCUUGGUAAGAAUUAAAGCUGAUGUUCUCCAUAUAGAUUCUGUUGCUAUGGAAGAGGGGUGAAGAACACCUGUGCAUUUGCUUUACUUGAUCUUUACUUUGUGGUGAAGAUUAGUAUUUUAAUAUUGUGAUAGUGACUUUCCAGACUGGAGGGGAAGAAUUUUUUGUUAACAUAGAGUGACCUAGUUCAUAGGGUGUGUUUGGUAGAAUAUACAGGAAGUAUAACAUAGCUACCUUGGAGAGACAUCCAUCAACACAAGAAAACACAAGGGAACACAAGGAAAAUUCUGAGGUGAAAAUGAAGUUACAGCACUUGCUGGUCUACCAGAAGGAAGCUGAAAUACCAAGGAAUGAGGACUUUUCUAGGACUGGCAUGCUGUAGAUGUGCUCAUAGACAACAAGUUCUGCCUGUGCACUUGGCUGAGCCACACAGAUCUUUCAGACAAAUGCAGUACAGAUUGCUGUAUACAAUUCUAUCCCACAGCAGGAAACUUUCUAGGACCACACCUGUAAUAUCAUACUCCCUCCUGUACCCCAGGAAAUUCUAUGUACUCCAGUAGCAGCUACAAGAUGCAAGAAGAAAAGGAAGAUUUGUUUGAAUGUGCUAACUGCUCUCAAAGCCUUGGAUUUCAAAAUGUUACGAACAAACUGUAGAGAGAAUGCUGAGCAUUUAAUGAGCUACUGAAGGGAUCCAUACCAAACCAACUCUUACUUCAAGGCUGCUUCGAUCCACUCCAGGAGAAAACAUGUGAAUACAAGGACAGGAAUUAAGCUGCGGUUUGCGCUGUCUGACAAUCUCUGCCUCAACCUCAUUCCUGUGAGUAGGUGUGUAGAAAGACAGUACAGAGUCCUUUACUGGCCCCUGGUUCCCUUACAAAAUGUAGCUGAGACUGCUACAACUGAAAUGGAAAUGAGGAGCUCCUACUUCUAUUACACAACUAAUAUUUUUCCAUAGGAGAUUUCCUUUCUUCUAUUUUCCAUCCUCUGUCUGAGAAGUACAGAGCAGCAUCCCUGGAUGCCUGCAGUGUGACUCUGAGGUAUCUGAGAACAGCAGUUAGAUCUUGUCUUGGAAACUUCUAAUUGGAGUGAGAAUAUGUCAGAAAAACAAUCCCUGUACAAUGCAAGAGUCCUCCAUCUUCAAAGCUGAUAAGCAAAUCUGGGACUUUUAUUCCUUUCCUACUACAAAAUCAACAUCAAAAACUUGUAUGGAUUAGAUGUGUUGACCUGUGCAUUGAACAGCCACUGUAUAUUUCCUGCAGCAGGUCAGCUGACAAAAGAAAAAGAAACCUUUUUUAAAAAAUUGUAUGCACAAUGGAAUUCCCAGAUUUCCAGCAGAUUUCCAAGCUCUUGGGAGAAGCAUGCACCUCAAUAUGCUAUACUGGUUAUGUUCAGAAUGUUAGUUCUCUGAUUACAGCCCCUUAUUUCACUGCUUUAUUAUUCAUGAGACAGCAGAGUGGAUGUGAUGACAAACCUCAUCUGUACUGCUUGACAAGAGAGUGAGUACGGCAGGAUCCAAGCUAUUCGAACCAGCCCAUGUGGAAAGGGGCAGCAUGAGUAAUCUCAGCUAAAGAAAGCCUUUAGACUGGCUGGAGCAGCCAGUGAGAGAGAGAUGGUGGCCAAAUAACUUACUGAGAAAAAGCAGUGAUAAUAAAUAAUUUCUUUUUUUCUGUAGGGGGGCUGUAGCACGUGGGGCCCAGGUACAGUAGGGGUUGAGAAUUAUUUUCAGAUCUCCUUGAUUUAACCCUAAGGCAAAAGUCACUUUACUGCACUGCAGAAGCAUGUUGGUGUGGUUUUGGCUCCUAACAUCUCAGAUCUGUAGAGGUCACUUUCCAUAUCUUAAUACGCUGGUGGCUGUGAGUAAACACAGGGCUGCUGCUGCUGUGCUCCCUCACAGCUCUCACUGAGCCAUACCUAUCCCACUUGAUAAAUCAUCACAGGUUUUCUGUUAUGCUAGCUUUUGCUCUCAAGUUAUCUUAAAAUAUACCUACUUCACAUGUCAAAAUUCUCAGAUCAGUCUGGACAAAACUGUAGCAAAACAAUCAUACUGAGCAGGAGCGUACCAGGGCACGCCCAAUGGCACAGUCAGGCUUGUCUGUAACAGAAACAGUGAGGUCCAUUGAAAAGGCCUCCGUCAGAGCUGAUUGGGAUCAGAUAGUCCUGUCAAUGUAAUUCUUGUUCUCCUGUGCUGGGUAUUUCUCUCUAACCUUGGUGGUUAAGAGGGAAAAUUGCCUUUAAUGAGUUUUGGAUUGUGUCUACAGGCUUUAGCUUUUGAGGCCUGGUGUGAGAGAAAAACUAUUUGUUGUUUAUUCCACAUGAAAAGUCAAAGGUAUAAGGUCCUGCCAGUCUGAAAAACAAAGCUUAAUAUGCAGAAAUGAUUAAGUGAUUGUAAAUUGUAGACAUUAUGAAGCAUUAACUUUAUCACUGCUUACAGUCUGUUAUUAUCUGCCACUUGCAUGGACAUGUGAGUAAUUUCAGCUCUCUGUUUGUUAAUGUCAUGGCACUUAACUGGACAGGUUGUUGUUCUCCUUCUUUAUGAAGUCAAUGCCUAAAAUGUUCCUUUCUUUAACAGCAGAUGUAUCAAAUCAUGAUUUUUGGCUUUUUCUCAACUGUUCUUGCAGUAACAUUCCCCAGGUAAUCAGCAAGAAAAUAGUAGUGUUUCAGACUUGAAAGAAGAUAAGGACCAUGCUCCAAUUAGAUGCUUAUUAGUUUUACUCUUUGAAGACUUACUGACUACAAAUAAUUCAGUGUGCCCCCUCUUGCUUAGACUGGCCUGACAUAGAGGGUUAUUUUCUAGCAGAAGGUGUCAUACAAUCAUAGAAUCAUACAGUUGCUCAGGUUGGAAAGGACCUUAAAGAUCAUCAAGUUCAACCUCAGUCUGACCACAUUACACUAUCUCUAACAACCCUCCACUAAAUCAUGUCCCUGAACACCACAUCCAAAGGGUUCUUAACCACAUCCAGGGAUGACUCAACCACCACCCUGGGGAGCCUAUUCCAGUGCUUAACAACCCUUUCUGUGAAGAAGUUUUUCCUCAUAUCCAACCUAAACAUACUUUGGUGCAACUUGAGUCUACUUCCCUUCAUUUCAUGAGGAGAUCUAGCUGUGUUUUACUAGCUCCUGGGAGAUAUUUCCUUUUGAAUCACUGUUCUGUUUUUUAAGAGACUGGACUAUCACUACAUAUGGCAAUAUCAUGAUAAUCAUAUCAUUUCCAUACCUGCUGUCUCCUUCUGUAAAACACUGAAUGGCAUUGCUGUGUCUAAAAUGAAACAUUCUUUUCCAAUCCUUUCUCUUUAUGGCACAUCAUGGAAGGAAGAUUGAAAGAUGUCCAACUGGUCAUGGAAAAAAGACACAGAGCUUGCAACCCCAUCUCCACCACACUGUUUUUGCUGGGUCACCAAUGGAGUGGUUGCCACAAGCCUGUUCAUACUAACACAGUGCUCACCAACAAGCCCUUUAGAGGAAAGACUUCAAGAGAAGCAAAGAGUGAUUUUCUUGGCUAUCUAGAAGCACCUUCUCAUCUUAUUAUGAAAGAUUAAGGGAUCAUACUGUAAUUAAAACCAGAGUGAGGUGUUUUGGUGUCUGAAGAACAUGCUCUUUCCUGCUGUACCUAGUUCUAUGGUUCACAUAAACAAGAAAACUUUGUCUAAUGUCUCCAUACAGAUUUCAUACAUUUCACAUGUGCACAUGGAAUAGGCAAGGUUUCUCAUUUACAACACACUACUGCAUGCUCCUGUUACUGAUGUGUGGCUCCAGUUCCUGUAUAGUAUCCUAUCCUGAAAAAACCUAAGUAGUGUCAGGUCAGGUUAAUGACAGAAACAUGAGUAGUAUUGUAUCACUUUUUUACACAGAAAAGCAGACAUUUGUCAGCUCUGCCAGCUCCCAUGGAGCUUCACAUGGAGAUUUACUGCAGCAAAUACCAUCUACUGUGGUGCUAUCCAGUUAGAGUCUAAAAUAUUCUUUUCAAGAAGGGAUCCUUUUUGGCACAUAUGCUAGUAGUCUCUCAGGCCAGUCAAAUACCAAAAGAAAUUUUCCAGUGCAGAAUAGGAGCCAGGAUGGCACACUGGUCUAGUUUAAGAAGAAACAAAUAGGACAGCAUAAAGAGAGACAGCUAGAACAAUGCUUUUGCUCAAACUGCUGUGGUAGCAAUCAUUGUAAAACCUAGCAAGUAGUUGAAGAGACAACUCUCUUGUUUAUCUGACAUAUAUAAUUUGUCAUUUUGACAGGACAAUAACUAUGAGGCAAUACAUUGUGGCAUUUUUUAUUAUAAAACUUAACUCCCCUGCCAAACAGAAUUUCUACUGUGACUCUUGGCUGUAUCUUAAAAUAAAGAUGGGUUGUCAUGAUUUUGUUUUUGAAGUACUUAGAAUGUCAGUUCCUAGGAAAAUUUGUGAAAAUGAACAUUUGUAUGUGAUAGAAGAAAGAGAAACAUAUGAAUAGCAUCUCACUAGAUGGAAAUGUAUUGUAGUGAGAAUGAAACCAAGUACUUAUAUGAGGUAGAGUUGUCUUGCUAAAAUCUGUAAGUCAUUAAUUUAAAAAAAAGUCUUUUUUUCAAGAUUAAGAGGAGCAGCAGAACAAUUUUUGGAAGUUUUGCAAUACAAUCAUAAUAUUUUACAGAGCUCAACACCAAAUCUAACUGUAAAAAUAUUUUCUCCUUUAAAAUAUUUAAUAAAUUAAUCUAUUGAAAUAAUUUUACUCCCAAUUUUAAGAAAGAAAGAAAGGAAGACCUGGGGGGAGCUACAGGCUGGUGAGCCUCACCUCUGUGCGUGGGAAGAUCAUGGAGCAGAUCCUCCUUGUUACCAUGUUGAGGCACAUACGAGACAAAGAGGUGAUUCGAGACAGCCAGCAUGGCUUCACCAAGGGCAGAUCUUGCCUGACCAAUCUGGUGACCUCCUAUGAUGGAGUGACAGCAUCAGUGGACAGGGGAAUGGUAAUGGAUGUCAUCUACCUGGACGUCCACAAAACAUUUGACAUGGUCCCUCACCACAUCCUUCUCUCUAUAUGAGAGAGGUAUGGAUUUGAAGGAUGG
ensembl:lncRNA